rnacentral:rRNA from 1 species
GACGAACCGUGCGAACGUUAUUCGGAAUCACUGGGCUUAAAGCGCGUGUAGGCGGGGCGGUGCGUCGGUCGCUGAAAUCCCCCGGCUCAACCGGGGAAGGGGCGCCGAUACGACCGGCCUGGAGCGACGUAGGGGGAACUGGAACUUCCGGUGGAGCGGUGAAAUGCGUUGAGAUCGGAAGGAACGCCCGUGGCGAAAGCGAGUUCCUGGACGUCGGCUGACGCUGAGGCACGAAAGCGUGGGGAUCAAACAGG